rnacentral:tRNA from 2 species
GCCGGGAUGGCCUAAUCGGUUAAGGCGUCGCCCCGGACAGGCGAAGGUUGCGGGUUUGAUCCCCGCUCCUGGCC